GGGAGGCAGCAGUGGGGAAUAUUGCACAAUGGGGGAAACCCUGAUGCAGCAACGCCGCGUGAGUGAUGACGGUCUUCGGAUUGUAAAGCUCUGUCUUUGGGGACGAUAAUGACGGUACCCAAGGAGGAAGCCACGGCUAACUACGUGCCAGCAGCCGCGGUAAU
rnacentral:rRNA from 1 species